UGCAUUAUUUUUAAAGCUUUAAUUAAGUUGGAGUAGGGUACUAUAAAUUGGAGUUCAGCAUAUGAAACUUUUAGUAGGAUCCAAACAUGGUACAAUACAAGCUAAUAAUAAUCACUUUUAUGCUUAUUCUGUUGCUGUCUGUGUCUUCUUAUUUCGCUGCAGCAGCAGCAUCAUCGUCUGGGAAUGAAUUUAAUAAUGGACUAAUAACGUCAUUGGGAAGGAAACUGCUUCAAGAUUAUUGCAUUGAUUUGUGUGUAUUGGAUUGGAAUUGCGAGCAGUCCCCUUGUGGAAGGGUUUGUGAUUAUAGUCAUGGCUUUGGUCCUAAUUAUGGCAUUUGUGUACAGUAAUUGUCAUGGUUCUUA